AACGAACGCUGGCGGCAGGCCUAACACAUGCAAGUCGAGCGGGGUUUUCGGACCUAGCGGCGGACGGGUGAGUAAUGCGUAGGAAGCUGCCCGAUAGAGGGGGAUACCAGUUGGAAACGACUGUUAAUACCGCAUAAUGUCUACGGACCAAAGUGUGGGACCUUCGGGCCACAUGCUAUCGGAUGCGCCUACGUGGGAUUAGCUAGUUGGUGAGGUAAUGGCUCACCAAGGCGACGAUCUCUAGCUGGUUUGAGAGGAUGAUCAGCCACACUGGAGCUGAGACACGGUCCAGACUCCUACGGGAGGCAGCAGUGGGGAAUAUUGGACAAUGGGCGCAAGCCUGAUCCAGCCAUGCCGCGUGUGUGAAGAAGGCCUUCGGGUUGUAAAGCACUUUCAGCGAGGAGGAAGGGUGGUGUGUUAAUAGCACAUCAUUUUGACGUUACUCGCAGAAGAAGCACCGGCUAACUCUGUGCCAGCAGCCGCCGUAAUAC
rnacentral:rRNA from 1 species